UACGAAGGGGGCUAGCGUUGCUCGGAAUCACUGGCGUAAAGCGCACGUAGGCGGAUUGCUAAGUCAGGGGUGAAAUCCUGGAGCUCAACUCCAGAACUGCCUUUGAUACUGAGGAUCUUGAGUACGGGAGAGGUGAGUGGAACUGCGAGUGUAGAGGUGAAAUUCGUAGAUAUUCGCAAGAACACCAGUGGCGAAGGCGGACUCACCUGGCCCGUUACUGGACGCUGAGGCACGAAAGCGUGGGGAGCAAACAGGAUUAGAUGACCCC
rnacentral:rRNA from 1 species